GACAGAGGUGCCGAGCGUUAGGCGGAAUUACUGGGCGUAAAGCGUGCGCAGGCGGUUGUGCAAGACAGAUGUGAAAUCCCCGGGCUCAACCUGGGAACUGCAUUUGUGACUGCACGGCUGGAGUGCGGCAGAGGGGGAUGGAAUUCCGCGUGUAGCAGUGAAAUGCGUAGAUAUGCGGAGGAACACCGAUGGCGAAGGCAAUCCCCUGGGCCUGCACUGACGCUCAUGCACGAAAGCGUGGGGAGCAAACAGG
rnacentral:rRNA from 1 species